rnacentral:rRNA from 1 species
UGGCCGUAAACGAUACUCGCUAGGUGUCGGCCACGGUGCGACCGUUGUCGGUGCCGUAGGGAAGCCGUGAAGCGAGCCACCUGGGCAGUACGGCCGCAAGGCUGAAACUUAAAGGAAUUGGCGGGGGAGCACAACAACGGGUGGAGCUUGCGGUUUAAUUGGAUUCAACGCCGGAAAUCUUACCGGGACCGACAGCAACAUGAAGGCCAAGCUGAAGACUUUGCCGGAUUAGCUGAGAGGAGGUGCAUGGCGUAGACGUCU